UACGUAGGGUGCAAGCGUUGUCCGGAAUUAUUGGGCGUAAAGAGCUCGUAGGCGGUCUGUCGCGUCUGCUGUGAAAGCCCGGGGCUUAACUCCGGGUCUGCAUUCGAUACGGGCUGGCUAGAGUGUGGUAGGGGAGAUCGGAAUUCCUGGUGUAGCGGUGAAAUGCGCAGAUAUCAGGAGGAACACCGGUGGCGAAGGCGGGUCUCUGGGCCGAUACUGACGCUGAGGAGCGAAAGCGUGGGGAGCAAACAGG
rnacentral:rRNA from 1 species